rnacentral:lncRNA from 1 species
AUAACUUGCUGUAAUUCACUCCCUCAAGAAACGACUGCGUAGUUUGAGAGCUGGUGUGGCUGUCAUGUGUUGUUACCUGUUUCUCAAAGGAACAGCAGCGGUGUCGUACAACACUCUGGAUGCAAAUAAGAGAAAGGAUGCAUGCCUUGGAUUGGAACAGUCUGAGGAAUUGAGGGAGAGGCUGAAAGAACUUUGGUUUGGAAGAACAUCAGUGCAAACAGAUGCUUUGGAUGAAACACCCUGAAUAUGAAGGAAUUUCCCAUCAGCUCUAUCAUCAUGCUUCCUUGAUGCCAUAGAGAAUUCUGUCUCUGAUACAUUCUUCAGGAAAAGUAAAGAACAAAGUAUUAUUUCAAGUGAAUUUCAGCAUUGUUUGCUGGAAAAAGGAGAUAGAAAUAAAAUAAAUCCAGUGAGAAGCA